UUACCUUAGAAUUAAUUUUGGGGUUAGAAGUUGGCCGUUCGACAUAUUUUAGGCAAAGAUUGCUAUUAGUUCCUUAUAGAUUCAAUAGACCUUGCACAUUACUUUAAUUAUAUUUUUUAGCCUGAGGAGGUUCAGAUUAAUGAUACUUUAUUCUAGAUUGAUACUUGGAAGAUGAUAUUGGUUUUGAUUCGAGUCCGGUGAUUUAUGAUAUUGGUUUCGAUUCAAGUCCGAUGAUAUAUGAUAUUGAGUUUUGGUUCAAUUCCAUUAACUGAUGAUAUUGAGUUCUGGUUCAAGUCUGGCAAAUAAUGAUAUUGAGUUUUGAUUCAAGUCCGACAAUUGAUGAUAUGAGUUUUAGUUCAAGUCUGGCAUUGAGAGCUUAUUUAUGACCAUUAUGGAACCGGUUUAAGUCUGGUGUUUUAUGGUAUGGAAGAAUCCACAGUUACAAUUUUGGGAUAUAGUUAGCAUAAUUCUUGCUACUAUCUCUUCUUGAUUGUACCCUACAGGCUUAUGGAGGCCUACAUUGGGUUAUUUACUUUAGCUUAUGGAGGCCUACAUUGGGUUAUUUACUUUACUCACACUUUCUGAAUUAUGGUGGCCAUUAUUUAUAGGUUGUC
rnacentral:lncRNA from 1 species